GAGGCAGCAGUAGGGAAUCUUCCGCAAUGGACGAAAGUCUGACGGAGCAACGCCGCGUGAGUGAUGAAGGCUUUCGGGUCGUAAAACUCUGUUGUUAGGGAAGAACAAGUGCUAGUUGAAUAAGCUGGCACCUUGACGGUACCUAACCAGAAAGCCACGGCUAACUACGUGCCAGCAGCCGCGGUAAU
rnacentral:rRNA from 2 species